UACGGAGGGUGCGAGCGUUGUCCGGAAUCACUGGGCGUAAAGGGCGCGUAGGCGGCCUGUUAAGUCGAACGUGAAAUCCCCGGGCUCAACCCGGGAACUGCGUCCGAUACUGGCAGGCUUGAAUCCGGGAGAGGGAUGCGGAAUUCCAGGUGUAGCGGUGAAAUGCGUAGAUAUCUGGAGGAAUACCGGUGGCGAAGGCGGCAUCCUGGACCGACAUUGACGCUGAGGAGCGAAAAGCUAGGGGGAGCAAACGGGG
rnacentral:rRNA from 1 species